GUUGAUCCUGCCGGACCCGACUGCUAUCAGAGUGAGAUUAAGCCAUGCGAGUUAACGUAGCAAUACGUGGCGCACGGCUCAGUAACACGUAGUCAACAUGCCCAGAGGACGCGGAUAACCUCGGGAAACUGAGUCUAAACCGCGAUAAGUGAGGAUUUCUGGAAUGGUUCCUGACUAAAAUCUAUAUGGCCUCUGGAUUGGACUGCGGCCGAUCAGGCUGUUGGUGAGGUAAUGGCCCACCAAACCUGUAACCGGUACGGGCUCUGAGAGGAGGAGCCCGGAGAUGGGCACUGAGACAAGGGCCCAGGCCCUAUGGGGCGCAGCAGGCGCGAAACCUCUGCAAUAGGCGAAAGCCUGACAGGGUUACUCUGAGUGACUUUCGCUAAGAAAGUCUUUUGGCACCUUUAAAAAGGGUGCAGAAUAAGGGGUGGGCAAGUCUGGUGUCAGCCGCCGCGGUAAUACCAGCACCCCGAGUGGUCGGGACGAUUAUUGGGCCUAAAGCAUCCGUAGCCGGUUCUGCAAGUCCCCCGUUAAAUCCAGCUGCUCAACAGAUGGGCCGCGGAGGAUACUACAGAGCUAGGAGGCAGGAGAGGCAAGCGGUACUCAGUGGGUAGGGGUAAAAUCCGUUGAUCCAUUGAAGACCACCAGUGGCGAAGGCGGCUUGCCAGAAUGCGCUCGACGGUGAGGGAUGAAAGCUGGGGGAGCAAACCGGAUUAGAUACCCGGGUAGUCCCAGCCGUAAACGAUGCAGACUCGGUGAUGGGUUGGCUUCGUGCUAACCCAGUGCCGCAGGGAAGCCGUUAAGUCUGCCGCCUGGGUAGUACGGUCGCAAGACUGAAACUUAAAGGAAUUGGCGGGGGAGCACCACAAGGGGUGAAGCCUGCGGUUCAAUUGGAUUCAACGCCGGA
rnacentral:rRNA from 1 species